GACAGAGGAGGCGAGCGUUAUCUGGAGUCAUUGGGCGUAAAGGGUACGUAGGCGGCUAGUCAAGUCUGAGGUUAAAGACCACAGCUUAACUGUGGGAAGGCCUUGGAAACUGACUGGCUAGAGUGGGGCAGGGGUUGCGGGAAUUCCCGGUGUAGCGGUGAAAUGCGUAGAUAUCGGGAAGAACGCCUGAGGCGAAAGCGCGCAACUGGGCCCUCACUGACGCUGAGGUACGAAAGCUAGGGGAGCGAAUGGG
rnacentral:rRNA from 1 species